rnacentral:lncRNA from 1 species
AAAGGCACUCUCAACUUUGGUCUGCAUAUAAUCCAUUUCCUGCUCUUUCAGUUGAAUCGGGAUUGCUUUUUGUGCAUCAAUGGAAGGGAGCCAAGACUAGUGUUCAGAUUAUAACUGCUUCAACAUCUGCCGCUCGUGGUGCUCGUUGGAGACCGCCAGAAUCAGGUUUCUUGAAUGUAGCCUUUGAUGCAGCUGUUUUUUGUAGUUUUUGUUCGGUUAGCUCCCAAAGAAGCUAUUAGUUGGGUAAAAAUCUGUUUGGCUAUCAUAAAAUUAUAUUCGGGACAGAUUGCGAA